GGCUGUAGUACCUGGACGUGGAGGUGGUGACUGCAGCAGCGGUUCCGGAAGUUCUGUGGCCGGCGGAGGCCGAUGUGACGUCAUCGAUGCCCAAAUAUUCUUACAGUGAGCGUUUGCCACAUUGCCCAGGAAAAAGAACAAGCGCAACUCUACUCUUAUCCUAAGAAAUCAUUGUCACUUGAUGUAGCAUUUGCAACUGACAUUGGAACUCAGCAAAUAUUAAGAAACCUAAGACAAAGGAACAAGACAUCUACGUGACCAGUAGAGCACCAGUGGAUGGAAUGUUCCGGAUAAUAAAGAGGCACCCGCAACUGCAGUAAACCCUGACCAAACCACAUUUCAAGACAUCAACAACCGUCAAAAGCUUUACGUGAAAACAUCAACACACUUCCCAAAAUCAAAGUAAAAACACACAGGCUGUCAAAGUCUACAGUCAGCAAGAUGCAGAUUUGUGCAGCACAUUCUGAUGAUUUACAGACAUUUGUUUUGAGUCCACGCAAGUCCUAUUACUGUUACUUCGUAAUACAUAAAUCACAAAAUGUGAUAAUUUCUAACUCACUUUGUCAUGUUGGGCUUAGAUAUCACUUUACUAUGAGCUGAUACUACAUUAAGGAAUGGGUCACAGACACAUAAAUCAAAAGAGAUUUUAAAAAAGCAAGGCUAUUAGUAUGAUAUACACCACUUACAAAGCCAGUUGUUUACAGUGCUACGAUAACAGAAAAUACUGAAGUUUUGUGGAAAGUUUACAACUAAUUGGUUUGCUUACAAUACAGAGCAAUCACUUAAAAAUGGGAAUGAUUCCCUAUUUUACCCAUUCCAGUACGUUCAUGGUCAAAUCAUGUUUCCAUAGUGGUACAGUUCAUAUUGCUAUGUAAGCAAGUAAAAGGGAAAGGAUGCAAUGGUUGAGAUGAAGGACAAUCUAGAAGAUUGUUGAGAGGAAAUUUGGUAGACUGGCUGUAUGUUUGCUAUGCGAGCAUAGGACCCAGUAUACUGGAAGUGAUGUAUAGGAAUUGGAUAGAAUUCAAAUUUAAAAACUAAUUAGCUGAAAUGCUUACUGCCAAAACCAGCUCACGUGAUUUAGUUAAAAAACAAGUCACAAUCUCACUUAAUAGCAAAUAUGUGCCUUGACUAUUAAAUGCUCAGUAAUAGGCAGUGGGCUAUUAUGGAAUCCUAUUGCAAAAUAUUUUAAAUAUCAACACAAUUUUUCAUGGAUUAGCCAAGGUAAGUACUGCUGUGCAGAGAUUCCUUGCCAUUAAUUGGACCUAUUUUACAUUUUUAUAUCAAGUGCAGUCCUGUUUGAAUAUAUUUAACAUAAAUUUAAAUACAACUUUGAGCAAUAUGGAAAGAAAUGUUUUCUAUCUCAUUUCAGCAGGUGAUGAAGCCUGACCUUCCUGAAUAUUGCCAAUUUUCUGGGUGGAGAGGUCAGAAAGAUGAGGGAUGAUUUGUCUGGUCUCUGCCCCCUUUACAAUGAACUGGGAAUUCUCAGACUUCCCUAGGGAAUGUGUGAGAUCAGGAAUAGAAUAAACAUGCCUGCAGGCAGCACUUUUUUUAAUCAGUGGAAAUGUAUAUCAGGGUGGCUUUAUAACAACUUCACUGCGAAUUGGUGUGGGUAAAAAUUCCCCAUCUCUGGUCAAGCACAAUCACCUUGGCAUUUCAUAACUUGUUGGAAUAUCCACUUGAGCAUAUAGGUACAAAGACACACCCUAUAGCUGUACCUGGAGGACUAUAUGUCAUUUUAUUGUCUUUCUAAGGAAAAUGUUAUGUGCAAUGUUGUGCUUUUUUAAAAAUCUAAUGUUCAAAAUAAAAUAAAUAUUAUCAGUUCCCUUUCAAAAAAAGUUCCUUUACGAAAUGGCCUGUCAUGCUGUCUUUAAAACGCAACCUUAGAAAUCAUUGUUUAUGAUUUCAACAGAUGGGCAUCCUGUGACUUUGUCGGAUAUUUGUAUCUAUUUAAAAUAAGUGAUUAAUAUGUCAUAAUAAAGAUAUUACAGUAUCAUAUGAAUGAACUACACAUCAUGAUCAGUAAAGUUUAGAUUAAUUGUACUUCUUAAAGAAAGGUCUUGAUUCUUUUUAAAUAGAAGAGUGAGUAGAUGCAAUAGUACUGUAUUAUUACGGAAAGGAAAAAUCAUUUUAAAAAUGAAAUUUGCAUGUGUGUACCAUUAGUGAAU